rnacentral:rRNA from 1 species
UGCGUAGGUGGCAAGCGUUGUCCGGAUUUACUGGGCGUAAAGAGCGCGCAGGCGGUCGUUCAAGUCGCGUGUGAAAGCCCCCGGCUCAACUGGGGAGGGUCACGCGAUACUGAUCGACUGGAAGGCAGGAGAGGGUAGUGGAAUUCCCGGUGUAGUGGUGAAAUGCGUAGAUAUCGGGAGGAACACCAGUGGCGAAGGCGACUACCUGGCCUGUUCUUGACGCUGAGGCGCGAAAGCUAGGGGAGCAAACGGGG